AGUUAUUAAGAAAUACUUACAGUUGACAUCCACUCUCUACAAUAUAUUUCAGGAGGCUAGAUAGAAACAGAAUUACCACAAUAGAACACAACGCAUUCAGUGGUUUGACAACAUUAAAGACACUGCAACUAGAAAAAAACAGAAUAUCUACAGUAGAGGACAAUGCAUUCAGUAGUUUGACAAAAUUAUACUACAUAUCUCUGGAAAAUAACGAAAUAACUACAAUCAAGAACAGCUCACUUACCGGUUUGACGAGUUUAAAGAAUCUGGAUCUACAAGAUAACAAUAUAUCAACAAUAGAGGACAAUGCAUUCAGAGAUUUGACAAAAUUAGAGAAACUACGUCUUUUUAGGAACAGGAUAUCCUCCAUAAAAAACACUACAAUAAGCGGGUUGACAAAUCUACGAGAACUGAAAAUACAGGAUAAUCCUUAUCACUGCGAUUGCGAGUUAAUAGGCCUGGUCGAUUUCCUUAAAUCUGGACGUGUCCCCGUAUCUGGAGAUCCACGCUGCUUUACUCCUGAGAAUUUGAAAGGAACUUCAUUGGUCAGUCUAUCAGCUGCAAAUUUGACCUGUCCGGACAUAACAACUGUAGACACCACAACUUAUGAAACGAAUUCUUCACCUUUGAAAGAAGGGAACUUUCUGGUUAUAGCAUACAUGUCUUUAUGCUCGCUUGUUAAAACCAUGACUGACUUUUAGAAUAUAUUAAAAAAAGCGAAUACAGAUAUUUAUUUCAAAACAAUUCGAAAGAAAACGCUAACAAUGACUUAAAAUUAAUGAAAACAGUGGACAAACUAUCUAUACCCUUGAAAUAUCAGUGAAUUUUUCGAAUAUGCUCACAUUUCCCGGGAAAUAGUGGGAAAUAGGAGAUACAAGAGAUAACUAUAAAGUUAAUCAUAUUUGGUUGGGUAUAGAUCUGUAGAACAUUAAAGGAUAAGAUUAACAUCUGGUAUAACUGUUUUGGAUUUAAAAAUCUGGUUAAUCCUAGAAUUUUAAAACUUAAACAUAACACAGUUUACUAAAAUUCCUUCCCAUUAUUUCUUUUUGCUCGGGUCAGAUUAUUCUAUAAAGGUCAAUCAAAAACUUA